UUGUUUGUUUUUGUUUUAAUGAAUAGACCAAAUUAUUACCUGUAGUGCUUUUCUGUUUCCCAGAGAGUGGCAUGCCAUGACUAUCAGCUGCCAAAUACAGCUGAGUCAUUCUUUCCAACUUGCCAAAGCCAGGACACUUUGGUUGAAUUCACUGUGGGGGAGGGGAGGAAGAGCUGAGGUUCUUCAGAAAGGAAUCCGAGUUACACCAACCGAUGUGUGUUCACGCUCCGCUGCUCUGUUUCAGUUACAAAGAAAGAGAGUGUGUGCCUGCUUUUUUCCAAACGCCGUGUGGGCAGCUCUGGGGCCUCGAACAGCUCCUGGCUGCUCAGCACCCGUCUCACCCAGAGACAGGCUCGGUUGGCGCUGGUGACUCAGACUCGGGCACGAUGGAAGACAGACUCUAGGGAGCACCGGGAACUGAUUGGUUGGCGAGUGUGAGCUUGGGGUGUCUGUGAAGGCCCCAGUGCUGUGCAGAAGUUCACUUUCACACGCUAGAACAAAUGGGUCCUUUGUGAAUAAUAACUGACCUUUGUUCCCUUCUGCCUGGCCUCCCCCCCACCCCUCCUUCCUUGCUGGUCUCAGCCAGGAUCCCUGAUGCUCUAGAAGGACCGGACCAGGAGUGGACAUCUCUACCCAUGGCAGAGCUGGGAUGGGGGAGGUUGGAGACGGGCCAUGGCCUUUGGGAAUGAUGUUCUGCCCUGUGUCAGAACAUGGUGCUGGGGACAAUCGGAGUCAAUCGGAGAAGAACAGGAGGACACUGAGCCCUGAUUGCCACCCAGGAUCUAUCAGACCCUUCGAGUCCUAAGUUACACAUCCCCAAACCAGAACCAGUUGCUAUUAAAAAUGUAACUGGAGAUCUGACUCUUUUCAGAUCUGAUGCCCUCGCCGGAGGGGCUGGUACAGAAGACCUGCCUGCUCGCUCAGCUCAGGCUAGCAUCCUGACAAAAUAGAGUCCUUUCUUCCGGUUUCUGCUGAGAGCAGCAGCAGCAGCAACGAUCCCUAAAACCCAACAGCGUCAUCCCUACCUCAUUUGCUGGGAUCUAUUAAUCUCUUACAAUAGCCAGCAGCUAACCCAUCUGGCAGACAUCUGGUCUUGAUUUAAUUAACUCGAGAAGCGAAAGAACAUCGGGAAAAGAGAUCUCUUCCUAUACCACAGACCUGGAGGUGAGUGACUCCUUGCCUGCCAGGCCUUGCCGCCCACACCUCUGACAGCAUCCUCCAGCCUGUUCCUCCUGCCACAAGACUUCCUCUAAACACGGAGCCCCAUGAAAGGAUGAGGAAGCAGCCUGGACCCCAAGUUCAUGAGAUGAUGCCUCCUACAUUCAAAGUGGACCCCUCCCCUCCCCCCGUUCAUCCCUUUUGGAAAAGCCCUCACAGUGCCAUUAGAAGGUGUACCUCACUAAUCCUCAGGCACCUGGGCAGCAGCCUCGGAGAGUGGUGUCCCCAAGGAGAGUGAUCUCAGAGAGGCUCCCCUGGCAUUCUCCUUAGGCUGAGAACAUCCCCCACCCCCACCCCACCCCCCACAGGAAGAAAUUCAAAAAGGCAAAGGAAACCAGGCUGUCACCCAAGUCAGCACAGUGACAAACGCUGGAAGAGCCCUCUGUCCCCCCCACCUUUUCACCUUACUUCGUAAACAUGCUUCUUAUGAACACCUAAACGCCACCAGAGGAAACCCCGCGGCUGACGACAUUUCUGCCUUUCUGGUCACUCUCUUCUGAGGCUUGUCAAGUUUUCCUGUCAUAAUAUGAAUAAGUAUUGUUUAGCUUCUUUUUUUAAUCCAUCUUUCUAAAACGUUAUUUCAUGUUCAUGUUUCCUUGUGUUGACAGUCUUCACGUUUGUCUGUUUAAAUUAGGAUUCUGUAUGUAGCUCUACUGUGAAUGUGACACAAUUUGUUUCCUGUUGGAUACUUGUAUGAUUUCUAAGUAGCAGAACUAGUAACCAAUAUGGCUAUUUUGUAUCAGUAGCUCUCUUGUCCCUUUGGGCUUAUAUAUUCAGGACUGUGUGCCCCUAAAUAGAGAGAUUUGGUCACCUAGGUCUCUGCUCUUUCUACUGCAAGGUUGCUCUGCAGAGAGAUGCAGUCAGUCCACAGGGCUUCCAGCCCAUUUAGAUGUGCCCUUAUCCCAGCGCAGAGUGGAGCUAUCAUUGACUUUUGUCAUUUAUAGUCACUUUAGUCUGCCAAAUUGGGAAGGGUAAAAUAGUCAGGAAUACAGAAAAUAUAUCAAAGGAGCCGAUCUGCAAGAUGCAACCAAGAAACAGGACCGGACGCCUCCUAAAACAAAAGCUCCAAGGGAAACUGGCCGAAUGAGGCUUGUUCUCACAAUGGUCACCUGUCUAGGGCACGUUGUGGGCUGUCCUGGGUUGAAAAUUCAGGGUCAUCCAGGGUGGAGUCAUAUUCAGCAAAUGACUGAAUAUGAGUAGCAGAGUCCAUAUUAUUUUAAGAUGUGUUACAUUUGUUUAUGCUGUGAAACAUUUGUUUAAUGAUGCAAAGAUGUGUUGCAUUCCUUUAUGUGGAGUUUAACUCUGCGAAGCUGUGUUCCUUUGCCUGUCUAAAACACCUGAUGAUCUAAUAAAGAACUGAACAGCCAA